GAUGAAGAACGUAGCGAAAUGCGAUACGUAAUGUGAAUUGCAGAAUUCAGUGAAUCAUCGAGUCUUUGAACGCACAUUGCGCCCGCCAGUAUUCUGGCGGGCAUGCCUGUUCGAGCGUCAUUUCAACCAUCAAGCCUUCGCUUGUGUUGGGGCCCCGCGGCUGCCGCGGCCCCCUAAAUCCAGUGGCGGGCUCGUCGUCGUACCGAGCGCAGUAGACAUCCUCGCUCCGGGAACCCGACGGGUGCCGGCCGUGAAACCCCCCCCAUCAAGGUUGACCUCGGAUCAGGUAGGAAUACCCGCUGAACUUAAGCAUAUCAAUAAGCGGAGGA
rnacentral:misc_RNA from 1 species